rnacentral:rRNA from 1 species
CAGUAGCCGCGGUAAUACGGAGGGGGCUAGCGUUGUUCGGAAUUACUGGGCGUAAAGCGCACGUAGGCGGCGAUUUAAGUCAGAGGUGAAAGCCUGGAGCUCAACUCCAGAACUGCCUUUGAGACUGGAUUGCUUGAAUCACGGAGAGGUGGGUGGAAUUCCGAGUGUAGAGGUGAAAUUCGUAGAUAUUCGGAAGAACACCAGUGGCGAAGGCGGCCCACUGGACGUGUAUUGACGCUGAGGUGCGAAAGCGUGGGGAGCAAACAGGAUUAGAUACCCCCGUAGUCCCUGUCUCUUAUAC